rnacentral:miRNA from 1 species
UUAGGUUGGCGCAAAAGUAAUUGUGGUUUUUGCAAUUCCUUUCAACUACAAAAUCGCAAUUACUUUUGCACCAAC